UCUCUGGUGGUCCAGUGGUUAGGACCCUGCACUUUCACAGCCAAGGGCUCAGGUUCCAACCCUGAUUGGGGAA
rnacentral:tRNA from 1 species